rnacentral:rRNA from 1 species
CCUAGUGACCGAUAGGGAACCAGUACCGUGAGGGAAAGGUGAAAAGCACCCCGGAAGGGGAGUGAAAGAGAUCCUGAAACCGUGUGCCUACAAGUAGUCAGAGCCCGUUAACGGGUGAUGGCGUGCCUUUUGUAGAAUGAACCGGCGAGUUACGAUCCCGUGCAAGGUUAAGCAGAAGAUGCGGAGCCGCAGCGAAAGCGAGUCUGAAUAGGGCGCAUGAGUACGUGGUCGUAGACCCGAAACCAGGUGAUCUACCCAUGUCCAGGGUGAAGUUCAGGUAACACUGAAUGGAGGCCCGAACCCACGCACGUUGAAAAGUGCGGGGAUGAGGUGUGGGUAGGGGUGAAAUGCCAAUCGAACCUGGAGAUAGCUGGUUCUCUCCGAAAUAGCUUUAGGGCUAGCCUCAAGGUAAGAGUCUUGGAGGUAGAGCACUGAUUGGACUAGGGGCCCCUACCGGGUUACCGAAUUCAGUCAAACUCCGAAUGCCAAUGACUUAUCCUUGGGAGUCAGACUGCGAGUGAUAAGAUCCGUAGUCGAAAGGGAAACAGCCCAGACCGCCAGCUAAGGUCCCAAAGUAUACGUUAAGUGGAAAAGGAUGUGGAGUUGCUUAGACAACCAGGAUGUUGGCUUAGAAGCAGCCACCAUUUAAAGAGUGCGUAAUAGCUCACUGGUCGAGUGACUCUGCGCCGAAAAUGUACCGGGGCUAAACGUAUCACCGAAGCUGCGGACUGUUCUUCGAACAGUGGUAGGAGAGCGUUCUAAGGGCUGUGAAGCCAGACCGGAAGGACUGGUGGAGCGCUUAGAAGUGAGAAUGCCGGUAUGAGUAGCGAAAGAGGGGUGAGAAUCCCCUCCACCGAAUGCCUAAGGUUUCCUGAGGAAGGCUCGUCCGCUCAGGGUUAGUCGGGACCUAAGCCGAGGCCGAAAGGCGUAGGCGAUGGACAACAGGUUGAUAUUCCUGUACCACCUCCUCACCAUUUGAGCAAUGGGGGGACGCAGGAGGAUAGGGUAAGCGCGGUAUUGGAUAUCCGCGUCCAAGCAGUUAGGCUGGGAAAUAGGCAAAUCCGUUUCCCAUAAGGCUGAGCUGUGAUGGCGAGCGAAAUAUAGUAGCGAAGUUCCUGAUUCCACACUGCCAAGAAAAGCCUCUAGCGAGGUGAGGGGUGCCCGUACCGCAAACCGACACAGGUAGGCGAGGAGAGAAUCCUAAGGUGAUCGAGAGAACUCUCGUUAAGGAACUCGGCAAAAUGACCCCGUAACUUCGGGAGAAGGGGUGCUCUGUUAGGGUGCAAGCCCGAGAGAGCCGCAGUGAAUAGGCCCAGGCGACUGUUUAGCAAAAACACAGGUCUCUGCGAAGCCGUAAGGCGAAGUAUAGGGGCUGACGCCUGCCCGGUGCUGGAAGGUUAAGAGGAGCGCUUAGCGUAAGCGAAGGUGCGAAUUGAAGCCCCAGUAAACGGCGGCCGUAACUAUAACGGUCCUAAGGUAGCGAAAUUCCUUGUCGGGUAAGUUCCGACCCGCACGAAAGGCGCAACGAUCUGGGCACUGUCUCAACGAGAGACUCGGUGAAAUUAUAGUACCUGUGAAGAUGCAGGUUACCCGCGACAGGACGGAAAGACCCCGUGGAGCUUUACUGCAGCCUGAUAUUGAAUGUUGGUACAGCUUGUACAGGAUAGGUAGGAGCCUUGGAAACCGGAGCGCCAGCUUCGGUGGAGGCAUCGGUGG